GACUCUGUCCAAAAAAAAAAAAAAAAAAAAAAAAAGAAUACCAUUGUAUUCUGAGCUAGGCCAACUGGCACUGAAAUAUCCAUGCUUAAAGGGACAGCAAAAAAUAGAGAGUGUCGCUGGAAGGCUGAGCAGGAAGUUUAAAGACUUAGAAAGUCUGCUAUAGAAGGAAAGAGGAAGGACUUGGUAAAGCAUGGUCUAGAGUCUUGAUCAUUAUUGUUGACUCAACAAAAAUCUAUCACAUGCCUACUACUUGCCAGGCACUGCUCAAGGCAAUUCAAUUUGAGUGAUGAUCCCCAUUCUAUGUACUAUGCUAUAAAACCAUAGGGCAGGAGAUGGAAGAGGAUGGGAGAAAGUAGAACAGAGAAAGAGAGACUAGAAGGAAAUGAAAUGGAAAGGAAAGAGGAAGAUGAAAAAAUCCAAAGCCAAGAAGUGGACUUGAGAUGCUACAACCAAAAACAUUAUCCUGCCUCUGCAUUCUGCU
rnacentral:lncRNA from 1 species